AGUAUUGUCUGCUGUUUUCAUAGCUUCAUUAUACUUUCUGGCCGCCUGGUCGUUUGUCGAUAUUCGAUUAGUGAAAAAUCAUGUUUAAAUAAUUUCGGCUGGUUGCUUAAUCGAUCGCUCGGAGGAAAACUUUACAAAACUGCUUGGCUAAUCAGGCGAUCAGAAAUGCUCGUAGAUAGCAUUCAGCUUAGAUAGCGGUGAUUUCUAGAGAGGACUUCUACCAAGGAGCUCUAUUUAAAGUACGACUUGCAUACACUUUCUGAUCGCCUGUUUACAAAGCCCAGAAACAGCAGUUUAGGACUUUUUGGACGCUUUUCUCUUAUCUUUUUGCCCAUAUAAUGCCAGCAGUUCUCAACUGGAUUGAGAUGUGGACUGUUUUCUGGCCCCGUGAGAAACUCAAUUCCAUAAAAUUUUUUUCGGUUUGUAACCUUUACCGUUUUGGCUCUAUGGCAAGAGGGUAAACCAUCCUGAAAAUAAACACCAAACUUGUUUAUAACUCCCAUACCAUUAAAUAGGUCGAAUGCUUUACGGUGGGUAAAACACAGCUUUCCUAAAAACGCUCACAACGUGUAGUUUUUCUAUCCCAGUUGUUUCGUUAAAUAUUGAAUUGGUUGUUCCAGCAUGUUGAAGGCGGUCAGUAAUGCACAUCCGUUUAAUUUGUCAUUCAUGACGAGAUUUUACUUUUUUCGGACGCCCACUGCCCUUUUUUUAUUUAGAAAAUUAAAAUUCGUAUAAUUAUUAAUAAUAUUGCGUUCACUCCAAUCACUUAUGGCUAUUUCACGAGCUAUAUGCCGUUUGGAUAAUGUAUUUUUAAAUAUAGCGAUGAUUUCUGCUUUAUUUUCUAUUGACAACAUAAUGUUCAACUUUACUUAUUUUUUCAACUGACUCAAAGGAAAUUACCGCAAGUACUAAAAUAAACACGUGCAGAAACUAACGGUUUUAGAAAUAACGGUAAACCAAUGUAGUUACAUAAUAAAAAAGUCAAAUCAGACAAAGCGCGUAUUUUGAGCGAAUAGUAACAGUUUAAAAAUGGAAUAUUAGAAAAUUUUUGACCGCGUGGGUUUUUUUUUUUUGCUGAGUGUAUAUAAAUAAUUAGGAUGCCAGAUGACGGUCGAAAUCCAACCACAAGCCCUCUAGAUACCAAAUAUUUCGCUCAAUCAUCUAGUAAUCUCUUCGUGAUAAUUAUAUACCAUUGUGUCAAAAAUGGCUGAAGUCUGGUCAAUAGUUCCCAUAGUACACAUACACCUAAUAUAAAAAUUUCAGGACUUCUCGUUGUCUUUAUAUCGUAUACAUACAUACAUAUAUCGGUCAAUAUGUGAGCUAUAUUUCCCGGGCUUUGAUCCUAGCAAAUUUCGAGAGUAUAAAAUGUUCGACUACACUUGUACUUGGCCUUUUCUUACUACUUUCAAAGUAUUCUUUUGUACUCAUAUUUUAUUGCCAUUUUAUUUAAAUAUUGUGUGAUUUAAUUUUUAAUAAAUAUUUUUUCUUGAUUUAUAACUGUUAUCUUGUUUUUUUUUUUUAUAUAUUUUGAAUUAGUCAGAGCUUUUUAGCUCCUAG